GGAUGUAGCUCAGUGGUAGAGUGCAUGCUUAGCAUGCAGGAGGUCCUGGGUUCAAUCCCCAGUACCUCCA
rnacentral:tRNA from 1 species